UACGGAGGGUGCGAGCGUUAAUCGGAAUUACUGGGCGUAAAGGGUGCGUAGGUGGUUAAUUAAGUUAUCUGUGAAAUCCCCGGGCUCAACCUGGGCAGGUCAGAUAAUACUGGUUAACUCGAGUAUGGGAGAGGGUAGUGGAAUUUCCGGUGUAGCGGUGAAAUGCGUAGAGAUCGGAAGGAACACCAGUGGCGAAGGCGGCUACCUGGCCGUAAUACUGACACUGAGGCACGAAAGCGUGGGGAGCAAACAGG
rnacentral:rRNA from 1 species